rnacentral:rRNA from 1 species
AUCUAUGGUCAGACCACCCUGAACACACUCAAUCUCAACUGAUCUCAGAAACUAAGCAGGAUCGGGACUGUUUAGUACUUAGAUGGGAGACUAUUUAUUUAGGUU